GGAUCUUCCAUUGAAUGCAACUGUUUAUAAUUACCUAGGGUAUGGACUAUUCUUAACAGCUUUCUGUCCAUAUUUUCUCCAUCUGUAUCCAUCUUCUAGCUGAUCAACUUCACUCUUUGUCAUGAAAGCAAACCUUGGUUCUUUUUGCUUCUUCUCUCCUUUCUUCUUAUCCACCUUGUUGUUCCUUUAUUUCAUUCAAAAACAUAUAUUAAGUAAUAAUAUUAAUAACUACAUGUUGCACCAUUAAAUUCAAGGGUUUGAUGAGAUAAGAAAAGGAAGAAAAGAUUUACCCAUUUUUAGAGCUUUCUUGUCCUGGUUCUUCUUUAACCUGUCCAAUAUUUUUCUUUCUCUUUCCUGAAUCUUCUUCUUCUACUCCUCCAGCUUCAGAAGAUGAGGAAUUAGAGAUAGAUGAGUUAAGUGUAGCAAGGGUUUGAUCACCACCACCUAAUUCUCCAGCUGAAGGUUUUUGAUUUCCUUGAUCAACAGAUGAAAAAACCUCUGAUGAAGAAGGAGAUAGUACUCCAAAAGAAGUUGCAAGUGGUGAAUUGUAGUGAUCCAUGUUUCCUCCUUGUAAACUUUCUGUGAAACUCAUAUUAUAAGAUGAUGGAUCAAAGUAAUUAGGUUGUGAUGAAUCUAAGUUAUGAAAGGUUGAAAAUUGUUUUUCACAUGAGUACAUGUUAGAUCCUUGAUCUAGCAUAAAGUCUUGGAAAUAAGGUUUAGGUUCAUCAGACAUGAAGAAGAAAGAGAAAGAUAUAUAGAAGCAAAAGAGAAGAGUGUGUAGUGAGGUUGGUUUGUUUUGAAGUCUUAUCUCUUGAUGAGUUAUUUAUGUGUUUGUGUGUGUGUGUGUUAUAUUAUAUAUAAGAAUAAAAGAAAAUAGCAAAGUCUUUGGGUUUGAACAGAGAAUUGCUAGGUCACUUUUAAAAAGGAGGUUGACAAAAUACCCUCCAAUCAAAAGAGUAGAAAGUGCAUGCUUUCUCAUAUGGAAACAUUUUUAGACCAUCUUACUUCCAUUAAGGAAACUCAUCAAUAUUAGUUAAGCAGAUAGGGAGAUUAAUGUCACUUUGCAUUUGCAGCCUCACCUAUAUGUAAAUAAAUCAAAA
rnacentral:lncRNA from 1 species